rnacentral:rRNA from 1 species
UGGGGAAUCUUGCGCAAUGGGCGAAAGCCUGACGCAGCGACGCCGUGUGCGGGAAGAAGGCCUUCGGGAUGUAAAGCCCUUUUGUCGGGGACGAGAAUGGACGGUACCCGGCGAAUAAGCCCCGGCUAACUACGUGCCAGCAGCCGCGGUAAUACGUAGGGGGCGAGCGUUGUCCGGAUUUACUGGGCGUAAAGCGCGUGUAGGCGGCCAGAUCAGUCGGGUGUGAAAGCCCGGGGCUCAACCCCGGGACGCCGCCCGAGACUUUUUGGCUUGAGGUCGGAAGAGGGGAGUGGAAUUCCAGGUGUAGCGGUGAAAUGCGUAGAGAUCUGGAGGAACACCCGUGGCGAAGGCGGCUCCCUGGUCCGAUUCUGACGCUGAGACGCGAAAGCGCGGGGAGCGAACGG